rnacentral:rRNA from 1 species
CUUAGUGGCGAACGGGUGAGUAACACGUAGGCAACCUGCCCAAAAGAGGGGGAUAACACUUGGAAACAGGUGCUAAUACCGCAUAACCAUGAACACCGCAUGAUGUUCAUGUAAAAGACGGCUUUUGCUGUCACUUUUGGAUGGGCCUGCGGCGUAUUAACUUGUUGGUGGGGUAACGGCCUACCAAGGUGAUGAUACGUAGCCGAACUGAGAGGUUGAUCGGCCACAUUGGGACUGAGACACGGCCCAAACUCCUACGGGAGGCAGCAGUAGGGAAUCUUCCACAAUGGACGAAAGUCUGAUGGAGCAACGCCGCGUGAAUGAAGAAGGCCUACGGGUCGUAAAAUUCUGUUGUCAGAGAAGAACGUGCGUGAGAGUAACUGUUCACGUAUUGACGGUAUCUGACCAGAAAGCCACGGCUAACUACGUGCCAGCAGCCGCGGUAAUACGUAGGUGGCGAGCGUUGUCCGGAUUUAUUGGGCGUAAAGGGAACGCAGGCGGUCUUUUAAGUCUGAUGUGAAAGCCUUCGGCUUAACCGAAGUAGUGCAUUGGAAACUGGAAGACUUGAGUGCAGAAGAGGAGAGUGGAACUCCAUGUGUAGCGGUGAAAUGCGUAGAUAUAUGGAAGAACACCAGUGGCGAAAGCGGCUCUCUGGUCUGUAACUGACGCUGAGGUUCGAAAGCGUGGGUAGCAAACAGGAUUAGAUACCCUGGUAGUCCACGCCGUAAACGAUGAGUGCUAAGUGUUGGAGGGUUUCCGCCCUUCAGUGCUGCAGCUAACGCAUUAAGCACUCCGCCUGGGGAGUACGGUCGCAAGACUGAAACUCAAAGGAAUUGACGGGGGCCCGCACAAGCGGUGGAGCAUGUGGUUUAAUUCGAAGCAACGCGAAGAACCUUACCAGGUCUUGACAUCUUCUGACAAUUCCAGAGAUGGAACGUUCCCUUCGGGGACAGAAUGACAGGUGGUGCAUGGUUGUCGUCAGCUCGUGUCGUGAGAUGUUGGGUUAAGUCCCGCAACGAGCGCAACCCUUAUUGUCAGUUGCCAUCAUUAAGUUGGGCACUCUGGCGAGACUGCCGGUGACAAACCGGAGGAAGGUGGGGAUGACGUCAAAUCAUCAUGCCCCUUAUGACCUGGGCUACACACGUGCUACAAUGGACGGUACAACGAGUCGCUAACUCGCGAGGGCAAGCUAAUCUCUUAAAGCCGUUCUCAGUUCGGAUUGCAGGCUGCAACUCGCCUGCAUGAAGUCGGAAUCGCUAGUAAUCGCGAAUCAGCAUGUCGCGGUGAAUACGUUCCCGGGCCUUGUACACACCGCCCGUCACACCAUGAGAGUUUGUAACACCCAAAGUCGGUGGGGUAACCUUUUGGAGCCAGCCGCCUAAGGUGGGACAGAUGAUUGGGGUGAAGUCGGAACAAGGUA